GAAAUGCGAUAAGUAGUGUGAAUUGCAGAAUUCAGUGAAUCAUCGAAUCUUUGAACGCACAUUGCGCCCCUUGGUAUUCCAUGGGGCAUGCCUGUUCGAGCGUCAUUUGUACCCUCAAGCUCUGCUUGGUGUUGGGUGUUUGUCCCCGUCUCCGCGCGUGGACUCGCCCCAAAGUGAUUGGCAGCCGGCGUACUGGUCCCGGAGCGCAGCACAUGUCGCGCAAACGAGUGCCUUGGUACGGCGGCGUCCAUAAGCCCCUCUCUCACGCUCUUGACCUCGGAUCAGGUAGGGAUACCCGCUGAACUUAUGC
rnacentral:misc_RNA from 1 species